CACAGUGCUGAAAAGAAGUAUGCCUGCCUUUAUCACAUCCUGACAGUUACCUAAAACCCAGAAAAACACAAGGGCAUGAAACACUCAGGCUCUGAUUUGGGUUUAAAAGGAAAAAGUGAAGAGGACAUCCCAGCCCCUGCCCAGAAUCACAGCACCUGCACUGUUUUCUUCUGCCCUCUGGCUGCACAUGUGGCCAGUAGAAGAUAAUAAAGGUGGAUUGCAUUGGACAGAUUCCUAAUGUUUACAUCUAUCUCCUGACCAGUGAGCUGACAUUUCCAGAAUAUUUCCCACAAUGAGCCAGAGAACACUUGAGAGUCUAGGAACAGGAAGAACACACCUGCUGUUAAUAAAUUGUUCAUUUUCUGUGUAUUGGGAGAAUUGGAAAUUUCCAUAUACAUGGUAUUAAAGGAUGGUGCUUCGCAACAGGAUUGAAUUUGGAGAUAUGUUCAAUUACUUUGAUACUUUCCUCACAAUUUUCCUGAUAAAAAUGACUCUCUAAAUGCAUUGCAAUGUGCACCAAACUUUAGUAUGUUUAUGUUUUACUGUUUCAAGGCUUUUAUAAUGCUGUCAUAAGGGUACAAGUCUCUUUCCUAUUACUUUUACAGGCACUUUUACUACUUACCCACUUCUAGCAGAAGUCUAUCUUCCCUCUGAGGAUUUAAACUAAAACAUAGUGGUUUUAAAUUUUUUUUCUCUAUCAAGCUCAUAAAAUAGAAAUUAUUAUCAUUAUUACUUCAUAAAAUAUAAUUUUGUUCAUUAGAGAUAUAUAAGCAAAGAAAUUGCUUAAUAAAAAAGUUUUCCCAUCUGUACAGCUGUGGAAUGUAUCCUUGAAUGUUACUAAAAAGGCCAAUUGUGACAUAAUUCAGAUGAGAUACCAGACAAGAAAAGUAAUCUAAGGUCCUCUGUUAUUGUUCUUAUGAAAAUUGGAAUUUUUCCUGCAUUGCAAUAGUUUGAAUACAUUCUACUACAAUGGGGAUUUUUCUUUUUUUUCUCUCUCCCCUCUAACAAGAAUGAAUCAAUAAAAAUGACAUCCAGUAGAGUAUCUUCAGAGCUUCAGAAAUAAAACAAUUGCUUUUCCUAAAAUUACUAGACUUCCAGGAUGAAAAUGGGAAAAUUUCUGUACUUAUGUCCAUAAGUAUAAUUUGUACAAAAGGAACUAACCAUUCUUGAAUGCACAUCUUUUGCCUUUUGUGGUGGCACAUUUCCAGGUAGCUCUCAUAUAAAAUAAUUGCAGCAAGCAAAUAGACAAAUCCUUGUUGAAGGAGGCAUAAUGGAAAACACAUAGAAUGAAUAUGGUUGUCUAUAUGUUUACUGUUUUCCAUCUGAACUAGCUGUAAUGUUGUGGUUUGAUAAACUUCUGGUACUUUUUUUUGGAUGAUUUUUACAAAGUUAAUAAUGUAUAUAUGUAGUAAUGUAUAUGGGCUUAUGAAUCUCCACAUCUUUGUCUUGUAAAUUUGUUUUUUGCAUACUGUUGUUUAUAUUCAAAAAUUGAAAGAUCUUAGUGCCUGGGUGUGAAGGAAUUUUUGUUUUCAGAGAAUUAAAAAUAAGAUGAGAGAGAACCAUUUACAAAAUGAUUUUUGUCUGCUGUUUAGUUGACAUGACAUCAAGACAGCUUGCAAGACACAAGGAUGGAACUUGAGUCACUCCUUCAAUAACUCCUGAAGAACAUUCAGAUACUAAUUUUAGAGAGUCUAUAACAUGCAGUAAUAAAGACAUGGGAUGAAUCAUAACAGUGAAUAAUAUCUGGUACAUAACAGGGAAUAAUAUCUUUGAGAUCAUAUUUUAUCUGAUGAUCUCAAACUACCUUACUGAUAUUUAUUUAUUGAACUCCCACAACAUCCUAGAGAGGUGGGUAAAUAUUAAUUUACCUUCACGAGAUAGUUGUCAUAGUUUAAGUCCUGCUGGCAAAUAGGCACCACACAGUUACUUGCUCAGUUCCAAGCCUCCUCUCCAUCCCAAAGGAAUGGGAAGAAAAAUUAAAAGUAAAACUUGUGGGUUGAGAUAAGAGUUUGACAAUUGAAAACAAAAUAGAAUCUAACAAUAAUAGUAAAUAUAAAUGAUAAUAAAAAGGGAAAGAAUAAACCCCAAAAAAGUGAUGCAAAAUACAAUCGCUCACCUCACACUGACCAAUGCAUGACCUGACCCCAGUCAUCGAACCCAGACCUGCCUCCCUUCCAGGUAGCACCUCUAAUGUAUAUACUGGACAUGAUAUUUGGGCCACCAGCUUAUGCUCCUUCACACUUUUUCUUUUGUGUACCUCCUAACUGACAGAACAUGAGACACACAGAUGCACAAUUAAUAGCAAUAACAAUAAUAAAGUCUUUGAUUUAGUCUAAAUAUGACAAAUCAAACACUGGUGUUAUCUACAUUAUUCCCCUUCUGAAUCCAAAACACAAAAAUGUACCAGCCACUGAGGAGAAAUUAACUCUAUCCAAAUUUAAACCAGGACAUUAAUUCACUCUGGAAGAAGACUUGGAAGAAGCUAUUACCCAUUCAUGCCUCGAAUCCUGAAACUACCCAAAGAUGAAUAUUGAAUGCAAAGAAGUAAACAAGGAAGGAUGAUUCAAUAUUAUACCUUGGAAGUGUUAAGUGUACCUUGAAUGUUUUUAGACUUAGGUUCAAAUCUCACUCAAGUAAUCCCUGAAAAAAAAAUCUGUUGUGAUUUCAGUAUAAGAAUUUAUGGCAUCUUUGAUGUUAUAAUAAAGACUGUAAAAUUUUUAUUAACAGAAAUUACCAUACUGAGAUAAGCAUUAAUGUACUUUGCAAGAACCAUACGUAACAAACUUGAAGCUUGUCACUACUCACAGAAUCUCUGUGAAUCCACCUAAUUUCUUUAGAUAUUUAAAAUGCCAUUUUAGUAGAUUAUACAUGUUAUAUGGAUUUACAGUAUAAGACCAAAACUUAUCCAGACUAUGAAUUUCUAUGGAAAAAAGGAAUUUCAGUUCUAUCAGAAGUUUUUAUUUUAUUCAUUUUGUUGGAAGACACCAACAAAUAUAAAAACUCAAAUAUGAAAAUACUGGAAAUUUUUUCAUGCUGAUCAGCUGGGGGCAAAAUUUCAUAAGUCUGGGAGGAGAUAUAUCUCAACAAAACAAGUUUUUAUAUUUAAAGAUGAAAUUCAGGUUUUUCAAUGAGACUAAUCUAUGAGUACACUUAUGAAAUAUGGAAGAAGCAUGCUGAAUUCCUCCUCCAAGUAGAUAUACGAAAGAGUUUUAGCCAUCCCAAAACAUGAUAUAGUGAAACAAAUUUGAUUUCUGUUGGAAAAUGGCAUCAACUUAUUUUUUGCUGAGCUUUGGUUAUGUAGUGUUUUCUGUUGGAAUAUUUAAAAAUGUGUCUGUAGUGAUUGUCAUAACAUGAAAGCAUAGGAAAUACCGUAUAGGGAUGAAAAAAUAUUUCUCAUGAGAUUUGGACUAAUGUAUAACUAUUCUCUUCUUGGAAAUUCAAAACACAAAUUAGGAACCUUGGAAAUUCAUCCAUUUUUUGUACAAUUUAUUGCCAUGAGUGAACAUGUACAUUAUAUACGCAAGUACUGGAAAAAAAGGACCUUUUUUAAUAGAAUAACAUAGAUUUGACAGAAACUCUAGUGUUAAUAAUUUCACUUCUCUGUGAUCAUGCAAAUACAACAUCACAUGAACUUCAAAGUAAAUUUUGGUAUUAUAUGUCCAUACAAAUGAAAAUUAAAAGUUUGUUCACAUUUCUAUGGGGCAAAAUGGUGACUCACAGUAAGAAAUUAAAUCAAUUAGCAUACUCUAUAGAUGACUGAUAUUUUUUCCAGGGGUUAUGUAAAUAUCUCUUUUCCAAUUGGCUCUGCUGUCCUUUGAGAAAGAGGAGAAACUUACUGUGCCUGGGCUCCCUCAGCAUUCCACCUACCUAGACUGGUAUCCCAACCCAAACAAGAGCCCUCUGGGGUCUGAAAAAAUACAACAGAAGGACAGAUGUUUGUGACUACAGCUUGUUAAGCCUUCAGAGUUGAAUGGCUCUGCAUCUGAUGUGUCCUUCUGAGUAGGAUUAUGAUGCUAGGGAAAAACUCUCUCAGUGAUCAUACUGAAAGGAGGCAAUGGUCAGUCAUAAGUGGUGCAUAGGUCUAUAUGAACCCAUUGUCUAUCCCAGUUUGACAGCUUUGUACAGUGGAUCUUACUUUCUUUAUCCAUCCCUUUACUCCCUCUCUCUGCAACCUCAUCUCUUCUCAUUUUGGUAUAUUUAACUUAUAUAGUUUGUUUCAACCUUUGACAUUCUUAUUGGUUCUACCAAACAACACAUAUCUAUAAGAUUGUACUGUAUAAAUCAGGGAAUCCAAGAAACUUGUGAUGAGAAAGGGAACAAAUAAGAUAAGAUAGAUAGCCAGGGGAAGAUGUGUUCAGCUGAAUCAGUAUGUCAUCAUUUUAGCCAUUCAACAAGAGUCUCAUAGGAUCCUAUAACUGACAUCAGUUAUCAGGUGUGAUUUUGACAAAUUUUUCUCUUGUGGUGUGUUUUUAUUUAUAUCCAUAAACUUCCAGUUAGUUACACCUGAGUAUUAUUAUAGUAUAAUAAUGUACUGUAAUUAUAUACUCUAUAUAUAUAAUAGAGCUUGUAUUAUUAUGUAUUUCUAGAAAGAGCAGGAGGUAUAUUUUUGUUUUUUAAUAGUAUUAAAGAAGCUGCUUUAUGACAUCUUUGCUGUAUUUGCCUUUACCUAAAUGUACCUCAAAUGAGAUUUCUGCUUAGUCUGUUCACUGAAUGAUUGUUGAUUAUUGAUUGAUUGUUUGUUUCCAGCAAUUGUUAAGUGUAUAUACUAACUAUAGUUGGAAUCAGAUAUUACAGCACUAAUUUUAUAUGAAAAGCAUUUUUUUGUGAUGUACUGAAUGCAGGACAGCCUGUGGCAUCUAAUUAGUAUUACAGAAAUCUUACCAGCUAACAUUAAGAAGAUUAAAAUACAUACCUAUACAAUAUAGACUA
ensembl:lncRNA